rnacentral:rRNA from 1 species
GACGAACGCUGGCGGCGUGCCUAAUACAUGCAAGUAGAACGCUGAAGAGAGGAGCUUACUCUUCGUGGAUGAGACGCGAAAGGGUGAGUAACGCGUAGGUAACCUGCCUUGUAGCGGGGGAUAACUAUUGGAAGCGAUAGCUAAUACCGCAUAACAAUGGAUGACACAUGUCAUUUAUUUGAAAGGGGCAAUUGCUCCACUAGAAGGUGGACCUGCGUGGUAUUAGCUAGGAGGUGGGGGAAUGGCUCACCUAGCCGAAGAUACAUAGCCGACCUGCGAGGGUGAACGGCCAACAGGGGAAUUGGGCACGGCCCAGACUCCUACGGGAGGCAGCAGGAGGGAAUGUUCGGCAAUGGGGGCAAACCUGACCGCGCAACGCCGCGUGAGUGAAGGAGGUUUUCGGAUCGUAAAGCUCUGUUGUAAGUCAAGAACGGGUGUGAGAGUGGAAAGUUCGCAUUGUGACGGUAGCUUAAGAGAAAGGGACGGCUAACUACGUG